GACGAACGCUGGCGGCGUGGAUAAGACAUGCAAGUCGAACGCUGACUUCAGGGUAGCAAUAUUCUGGAGUCGGAGUGGCGCAAGGGUGCGUAACACGUGGGUAAUUUGCCGCGAAGUCUGGGAUAACUUGCUGAAAGGCGAGCUAAUACCGGAUGUGAUGUUUGGGAGGCAUCUCCUGAAUCUCAAAGUUGGGACCGGUAAGGCCUGACGCUUCUACGAUAAGCCCGCCGGCCUAUCAGCUAGUUGGUGAGGUAACGGCUCACCAAGGCUAAGACGGGUAGCUGGUCUGAGAGGACGACCAGCUCACUGGAACUGAGACACGGUCCAG
rnacentral:rRNA from 1 species